CCUACGGGAGGCAGCAGUGGGGAAUAUUGCACAAUGGGGGAAACCCUGAUGCAGCGACGCCGCGUGGGUGAAGAAGUAUUUCGGUAUGUAAAGCCCUAUCAGCAGGGAAGAAAAAUGACGGUACCUGACUAAGAAGCACCGGCUAAAUACGUGCCAGCAGCGGCGGUAAUACGUAGGGUGCAAGCGUUAUCCGGAUUUACUGGGUGUAAAGGGAGCGCAGGCGGGACGCUAAGCCUGAUGUGAAAACCCGCGGCCCAACCGCGGGAGUGCAUUGGAAACUGGCGAGCUGGAGUGCGGGGGGGGCAGGCGGAAGUCCUGGUGUAGCGGUGAAAUGCGUAGAUAUUAGGAAGAACACCAGUGGCGAAGGCGGCCUGCUGGACGGAGAUUGACGCUGAGGCUCGAAAGCGUGGGGAGCAAACAGGAUUAGAUACCCGUGUAGUC
rnacentral:rRNA from 1 species